AUUGAACGCUGGCGGCAUGCCUUACACAUGCAAGUCGAACGGCAGCACGUGUGCUUGCACCUGGUGGCGAGUGGCGAACGGGUGAGUAAUACAUCGGAACAUGUCCUGUAGUGGGGGAUAGCCCGGCGAAAGCCGGAUUAAUACCGCAUACGAUCUACGGAUGAAAGCGGGGGACCUUCGGGCCUCGCGCUAUAGGGUUGGCCGAUGGCUGAUUAGCUAGUUGGUGGGGUAAAGGCCUACCAAGGCGACGAUCAGUAGCUGGUCUGAGAGGACGACCAGCCACACUGGAACUGAGACACGGUCCAGACUCCUACGGGAGGCAGCAGUGGGGAAUUUUGGACAAUGGGCGAAAGCCUGAUCCAGCAAUGCCGCGUGUGUGAAGAAGGCCUUCGGGUUGUAAAGCACUUUUGUCCGGAAAGAAAUCCUUGGCCCUAAUACGGUCGGGGGAUGACGGUACCGGAAGAAUAAGCACCGGCUAACUACGUG
rnacentral:rRNA from 1 species